rnacentral:rRNA from 1 species
GACGACGCUGGCGGCGUGCUUAACACAUGCAAGUCGAACGAGUGGCGAACGGGUGAGUAAUACGUGGGAACCUGCCCGAUAGAGGGGGAUAACUACUGGAAACGGUGGCUAAUACCGCAUACUAUCGGAUGAACCCCUAUGGGAUUAGCUAGUAGGUGGGGUAAAGGCUCACCUAGGCGACGAUCUCGAGCGGGUCUGAGAGGAUGAUCAGCCACACGGGGACUGAGACACGGCCCAGACUCCUACGGGAGGCAGCAGGGGGGAAUAUUGCCAAAGGGGCGCAAGCCGGAUGCAGCCAUGCCGCGUGUAUGAAGAAGGCCUUAGGGUUGUAAAGUACUUUCAGCGGGGAGGCGUUACCCGCAGAAGAAGCACCGGCUAACUCCGUGCCAGCAGCCGCGGUAAUAC